AUGACACAGCCCGAGGAUACUACACAAACUGAUUAGGACCAAAGAGGUCCAGGAUGGUGAACGAGUCAACUUCCACUAGACCUUGAGCCUCAGUAUACGUUCCUUGUAAUAUAUUAGCAUAUGCUAAAUGACACACCCACAGGCGCCACGACAGUUCCAAGGCCAGCCAUAAAGGUCUAAAAGUGGGCGGUGGCCCAAUUCCUGGAAAUCCCGCCCCUUCCCUAAAAUAGCUGGAAUACUCCUCCCACUCAUUAGCCUGUGAAACUACCCACCCCUAUAAGAACUGACAACCCUGUACCCUGGGGCCACUCUCUCCUUCUGAGAUGGCCCACACUCUGUCUUGUGGAGUGUGUUUAUCUCUAAAGAAAUCCACUUUGUCUCUGACUGAAUUCUUUCUGCGAUGAGACAUCAAGAACCUGAGCUUCAUUAAGUCCUGAGACCAGGAAGGACCUAUGGAGCCAUGACCUGGAGGCCAGCAGGGACUGCGCGGCCACGAGUGGAAGGAAGGCCCCUGCCACGGGCAUGGACAGUUUUUCCUGAGGGGCAGAGGGUUGGGCAUGGACGCCAAUGAGAGCACAGGUAAAGGCAGACCUCAGAGGUAUUGCAGGUUCUGUUCCAGACCACCAC